GAUGAACGCUAGCUACAGGCUUAACACAUGCAAGUCGAGGGGAAACGAUGAGAGAGCUUGCUCUCUUAGUCGUCGACCGGCGCACGGGUGAGUAACGCGUAUCCAACCUGCCUCUGACCAAGGGAUAACCCGUCGAUAGUCGGACUAAUACCUUAUGCAGUCGUCGGAAGUCAUCUGAUGACGCCGAAAGAUUUCAUCGGUGAGAGCUGGGGAUGCGUCUGAUUAGCUUGUUGGCGGGGUAACGGCCCACCAAGGAGACGAUCAGUAGGGGUACUGAGAGGAAGGUCCCCCACAAUGGAACUGAGACACGGUCCAAACUCCGACGGGAGGCAUCAGUGAGGAAUAUUGGUCAAUGAGCGUAAGCCUGAACCAGCCAAGUAGCGUGCAGGAUGACUGCCCUAUGUGUAGUAAACUGCUUUGAUGCGGGGAUAAAGUGAGUGACGUGUCCUUCAUUGCAGGUACCGAAUGGAUAAGGACCGGCUAAUUCCGUU
rnacentral:rRNA from 1 species